AACCAAAUAAUGCCGCCAAUGCCAGUCUACUCAGUAGAAUGUAUUGAGACUUCACUUUAAAUCACAAGUUAUCAAUGCCAAACAAAAAACCAUCAUUGAUUGAUUGAUUGAUUGUAGCCAAUUGUAGCGAGUAAACCAACAGUAACGAGUAACGUGAGCGCUGCAACAAAAAC